AAAAAAGUGGACUGAUUUGCGCACGGCAUAUUUACCUAUGCCUCAAGGAGAUUGCAACCACGGUAAAAAAGUGCUAAAACCGAAAAU
rfam:Sphingobacterium psychroaquaticum strain DSM 22418 genome assembly, contig: LY64DRAFT_scaffold00007.7